rnacentral:rRNA from 1 species
AUUGAACGCUGGCGGCAUGCUUUACACAUGCAAGUCGGACGGCAGCACAGAGAAGCUUGCUUCUUGGGUGGCGAGUGGCGAACGGGUGAGUAAUAUAUCGGAACGUACCGAGUAAUGGGGGAUAACUAAUCGAAAGAUUAGCUAAUACCGCAUAUUCUCUGAGGAGGAAAGCAGGGGACCUUCGGGCCUUGCGUUAUUCGAGCGGCCGAUAUCUGAUUAGCUAGUUGGUGGGGUAAAGGCCUACCAAGGCGACGAUCAGUAGCGGGUCUGAGAGGAUGAUCCGCCACACUGGGACUGAGACACGGCCCAGACUCCUACGGGAGGCAGCAGUGGGGAAUUUUGGGCAAUGGGCGCAAGCCUGAUCCAGCCAUGCCGCGUGUCUGAAGAAGGCCUUCGGGUUGUAGGACUUUUGUCAGGGAAGAAAAGGCUGUUGCUAAUAUCAAUAGCUGAUGACGGUACCUGAAGAAUAAGCACCGGCUAACUACGUG